rnacentral:lncRNA from 1 species
UCACUUAUAUAUAAAUUUUCAAGGAGCUGUUAAGUUUUCUACCAAUGUAGAUUAAAUCAUCUAAUAGCCUUUCCUUAGUGUCAUUUUCAUAUUUCUCUCUCUCUCUCUCUCUCUCUCUCUCUCUCUCUGUCUCUCUCUCUCUCUCUUUCUUAUAUAUAUUGUUUUUUAAGGAGCUGUUAAAUUUUCUUCCAAUGUCGAUUAAAUCAUUUGAUAGCCUUUCCUUAGUGUCCUUUUCAU